rnacentral:rRNA from 1 species
GGUCAAAUGAACGAAGGCGUACGGCGGAGACCUAGGCACUCAGAGACGAUGAAGGGCGCAGAUACCGGCGAAACGCUUCGGGGAGCUGGCCACAAGCGUUGAUCCGAAGAUCCCCGAAUAGGGCAACCUCUAUAGAACUGCCUAGAGAAUUCAUAUUUAGGAAAGAGGCCACCCGGUGAACUGAAACAUCUAAGUAGCCGGAGGAAAAGAAAGCAAACGCGAUUCCCGUAGUAGCGGCGAGCGAACCGGGAAGAGCCUAAACCCAGGUGGAUACGCCUGGGGGUUGUGGGAGGACAAGGCUUAUCCCCAUCUAUAGUCCACUGCUCUUUAUGACUUCGUCAUCGUUUACGAAGUCAAAAAGAGCACGUAGCAACCCGGUAGCCUUGCGAAGCCAUAGUCCACUGGGUGGACUAUAUACUCUGUAAAGGCUUUACGGGUAAGGAGAAGGGGCUCGCUUCCCCAUGCCCUUUGGGCAAGGGAAGCGAAGCAAAGCACGCAAAAGCAAGUUAGACGAAGCAGCUGAAUCCUGCACCAUAGAUGGUGAAAGUCCAGUAGUCAAAAAAUUUGCAUUUAUAACUUCGUUAUAGUUUACGAAGUAAAAAAUGUCCAAUCCCGAGUAGCAUGGGACACGUGGAAUCCCGUGUGAAUCCGCGAGGACCACCUCGUAAGGCUAAAUACUCCUGAGUGACCGAUAGAGAAAGAGUACCGCGAGGGAACGGUGAAAAGAACCCCUGUUGGGGAGUGAAAUAGAACAUGAAACCGUAUGCUGACAAGCAGUGGGAGGCAAAAAAAGAGCCUGACCGCGUGCCUAUUGAAGAAUGAGCCGGCGACUUAUAGGGAGUGGCUUGGUUAAGGAGUGAAAUCCGGAGCCGGAGCGAAAGCGAGUCUGAAGAGGGCGAACACGUCACUUCCUAUGGACCCGAACCCGGGUGAUCUAACCAUGACCAAGAUGAAGCGUGGGUAAUUCCUCGUGGAGGUCUGAACCGACCGAUGUUGAAAAAUCGGCGGAUGAGUUGUGGUUAGUCGGAGAAAUUCCAAUCGAACUCGGAGCUAGCUGGAUCUCCCCGAAAUGCGUUGAGGCGCAGCGGUGCGGAGCAAAACUGUCUAGGGGUAAAGCGACUGUUUCGGUGCGGGCUGCGAAAGUGGUACCAAGUCGUGGCAAACUCUGAAUACUAGACAAUGUUUUCCGUGAACCAGUGAGAAAAUCGGGGAUAAGCUUGAUUUUCAAGAGGGAAACAGCCCAGAUCACCAGCUAAGGCCCCAAAAUGGUGACUAAGUGGAAAAGGAUGUGGGAAUGCUGAAACAACCAGGAGGUUUGCUUAGAAGCAGCCACCCUUCAAAGAGUGCGUAAUAGCUCACUGGUAAAGCGUUCCUGCGCCGACAAUGGCCGGGACUAAGUCACCUGCCGAAGCUGUGAUAUAGGUUUCUUUUUUUACUUCUUUAUAAUGCGUACAAAAAAAGGGUAAGCAUAAUAAAUAAAAAAGCAACUAUAGGUAGGGGAGCGUUCCUUUUUGGGUGAAGUUUUCGUGAAAACAAAAAUGGACAAAAAGGAAGUGAGAAUGUCGGCUUGAGUAACGAAAACAUUGGUGAGAAUCCAAUGCCCCGAAAACCUAAGGGUUCCUCCACCAGGUUCGUCCGUGGGGGGUGAGUCAGGACCUAAGGCCAGGCCGAAAGGCGUCGUCGAUGGCAAACAGGUUAAUAUUCCUGUACUCUUCUAUUGAGAUCAGAGGAACGAAGGAGGCUAGACUCUACGACGAAUGGAUGAUCGUGGAAGCGUGUAGGCGUUGAGAGGUAGAAGAAAAACUAUCCUUGAGCAGAAGCGUGAUCCUUGCCUCGUCCCCGUAAGGGGGUGCACUAGGCACAGGCUUGCCUGUUUUUUACUUUAGUAAAAGAGGGGUAUAGUCGCGAGGUGAUGAGUUGAUGCCAAACUUCCUAGAAAAGCUCUCACAUCAAAACACAAUAGCUGUGUGUUUACACACAGUGUCCGCGUAGCGGACAAAGACCUGUACCUUAAACCGACACAGGUAGGUUGGUAGAGAAUACCAAGGGGCGCGAGAGAACUCUCUCUAAGGAACUCGGCAAAUUGACCCCGUAACUUCGGAAGAAGGGGUGCUUGCCUUCUGGCUUUUAGCCAGAGGUGAGUCGCAGUGACCAGGCCCAGGCGACUGUUUAUCAAAAACACAGGUCUCCGCAAAGUCGAAAGACAAUAUAUGGGGGCUGACGCCUGCCCAGUGCCGGAAGGUUAAGGAAGUUUGUUAUCUCGCUCGCGAGAAAAGCGAACGACUGAAGCCCCGGUGAACGGCGGUCGUAACUAUAACGAUCCUAAGGUAGCGAAAUUCAUUGCCAAGUAAGUUUUGGCCCGCACGAAAGGCGUAACGAUCUGGGCACUGUCUCCGAGAGAGGCUCGGUGAAAUAGACUUGUCCCGUGAAGAUGCGGACUACCUACACCUGGACAGAAAGACCCUAUGAAGCUUGACUGUAUCCUGGAAUUGGGUUUGGGCUUUUCUUGCGCAGCCUAGGUGGGAGGCGCUGAAGGUUCCCUUCCGGGGGGGCUGGAGCCAUCAUUGAGAGACCACUCUGGAAGAGCUAGAAUCCUAAUGGCGAUCCUUGAAUCAGGACGCUUGACAAUUUCAGGUGGGCAGUUUAUUUGGGGCGAAUUUCUCCUAAAAGGUAACGGAGAAGUGCAAAGGUUUCCUCAGCCUGGACGGAAAUCAGGCAUGGAGUGCAAAAGCAAAAGGGAGCUUGACUGCAAGACCGACAAGUCGAGCAGGGGCGAAAGCCGGCUUUAGUGAUCCGACGGUUCCGUGUGGAAGGGCCGUCGCUCAACGGAUAAAAGUUACUCUAGGGAUAACAGGCUGAUCUUCCCCAAGAGUCCAUAUCGACGGGAAGGUUUGGCACCUCGAUGUCGGCUCAUCACAUCCUCGGUCUGUAGUCGGUCCGAAGGGUUGGGCUGUUCGCCCAUUAAAGUGGUACGUGAGCUGGGUUCAAAACGUCGUGAGACAGUUUGGUCCAUAUCCGGUGUAGGCGUAAGAGCACUGAGAGGAGCCUUUUUUAGUACGAGAGGAUUGAAAAGGACAUGCCAAUGGUGUACCAGUUCUCCUUCCAAGGGGAAACGCUGGGUAGCCACGCAUGGUUUAGAGAAGCGCUGAAAGCAUAUAAGUGUGAAACAAACCUCAAGAUGAGUGCUCUCCAUCAGGCCGCUAAAAGAGAAUUAGUUUGAUAGGGGUUAGGUGUAAGAACAGCAAUGUUUUUAGCCGAGACAUACUAAAGGCCGAUUGAUUUUGAUC